CUCCUGAUAGCUCAGUUGGUAGAGCGAUGGACUGUAAUUGAAACUCCUUAGAGAUCCACAGGUCGCGUGUUCGACUCACGCUCGGGAGA
rnacentral:tRNA from 1 species